rnacentral:rRNA from 1 species
GUAAGGAAUAUUGGUCAAUGGGGGCAACCCUGAACCAGCCAUGCCGCGUGAAGGAUGAAGGCGUUAUGCGUUGUAAACUUCUUUUGUAUGGGAAGAAUGACAGGGAUUUAUCCUUGGAGAGACGGUACCAUACGAAUAAGCACCGGCUAACUCCGUGCCAGCAGCCGCGGUAAUACGGAGGGUGCAAGCGUUAUCCGGAAUCACUGGGUUUAAAGGGUACGUAGGCGGUUAAUUAAGUCAGUAGUGAAAGACUGUCGCUCAACGACGGAUGUGCUAUUGAUACUGGUUAACUUGAAUCAGGUUAGAGUUGGCGGAAUGUGACAUGUAGCGGUGAAAUGCAUAGAUAUGUCAUGGAACACCAAUUGCGAAGGCAGCUAGCUGGGCCUUGAUUGACGCUGAGGCACGAAAGCGUGGGUAGCGAACAGGAUUAGAAACCCGAGUAGUCC